AGAGUUUGAUCCUGGCUCAGGAUGAACGCUAGCUACAGGCUUAACACAUGCAAGUCGAGGGGAAACGACAUCGAAAGCUUGCUUUUGAUGGGCGUCGACCGGCGCACGGGUGAGUAACGCGUAUCCAACCUGCCCACCACUUGGGGAUAACCUUGCGAAAGUAAGACUAAUACCCAAUGAUAUCUCUAGAAGACAUCUGAAAGAGAUUAAAGAUUCCUCGGUGAUGGAUGGGGAGUGCGUCUGAUUAGCUUGUUGGCGGGGUAACGGGCCCACCCAAGGCAACGAUCAGUAGGGGCUCUGAGAGGAAGGUCCCCCACAUUGGAACUGAGACACGGUCCAAACUCCUACGGGAGGCAGCA
rnacentral:rRNA from 1 species